CCCCUUUGUGCAGCCGCCCCCACUUCCCCACCCUUUGGCCGCCGCCCCCCUUCCAUCUCCCCCCUCUCUCAAUCCUUGCAGCCACACCACCAAGCCCUAGCCGCCCCCCCCAUCUCCUCCUCCCAAGGUACCAUUCCUUGCCACUCGGAUCGUCGUCGCGUGGUGUGAAUCUUCAAUCGUUUUGGUGGAGGGAAGAAAGGAGGAAGAAAAGGGGGAGAAUCCAAGGUGGUGGACUUCCGGAUCGUUCUUAGGGAUUUGCCCAAACUCCCGGUGAAGGCAAGUAAAACUGUGAUGGUUAUUCCUUCUGUCAAAUGAGGAGUCUUAUACUUGAUUAUGUCGUGCUAUUGUGUCCAUAUUCAUAUUUUUUUAUUGAGUACCAUCAUUUGAAAAGGUUCAUGUUUCAUGGAUUUCAUAUGUUGAGUUUGAGGUUUGAUUAUGUUACUCAAGUGGUUAUUAUGUGGAAGGGGUGGAAGUAUAUGUCUAGCACAUUUUAUUUGAGAAGAACUCACGAUGUUGUCAUGCAUAAUGCACUCAUCAUCCAUUGCAUUGAAGUUUUGUCACGAUCUUAUGGUCCGACCGUACCGGUACAUUGAGCAUCAUAUGUUGCCCGAGAAGGGGUAUGAUGCAGCUUCAUAUCCUUAGAGAUAUGGAGGCAGAAGUCAUUAUUGUAUCUGUAGCCAUGUGCAUUCAUGGGAGAGGUGUGGAAUCUAUUAUGUGGAUGUGGAUAAUCUGGUCUUGUGCAUGGUGUUUCUUCUUGACGUUAAGUAUUUAGUUACUUUUUUACUUGCUGCAAUUUAAUGUUCAAAAGGGAAGUUUGAACCACAUGGGUGUUUAAGCACAGUUGAUUUACUAUGCCCAAUUUGUUGUUGUUAUGUUUACUUGCUGAGAUGUGUCACAUCUUGCAUUGUUUGAUGCAGGCACCUAAUUUCUGCUUUGGGAAAAGAGGGAUGUAGCAGCACGACCACUACACCUUUAAUAAAGGAACCACCACUUAAUAAUGUUGUUAAUCAGAGAGGGUCAAGUCUAGUGAAUUACUUUGUUCUUGGUUGAGCGUUUGUUUUGGGGUGGGCUGAGUUCCUUAUCUCAUUUGUUUUUGUUUCUGUUGGGUCAUGAAUGUGUUUUACCACUUUUGCAUUUAAAUUCUACUACGUAGAUUAUCUGUCUUUAUAUCCUGUUUGAACCACAUGUUUCCCCUCCUUGUUAUGCUAGUUUCAAAGGAGGUGCUGCCGGAUUUUGCAGUAUUUCUCUCUUUAUUACAUCUCUUGUGUUGAGUAA